rnacentral:rRNA from 1 species
UAAUGAAUCUUCCGCAAUGCACGAAAGUGUGACGGAGCGACACCGAGUGAAGGAUGAAGUUCUUCGGAAUGUAAACUUCUAAAACCUGUUAGAAAGUUCUGAUCGACAGGCUAUAAGUGGCGACUAACUCUGUGCCAGCAGUCGCGGUAAUACAGAGGCCACGAGCGUUAGGCGGAAUCACUGGGCUUAAAGCGUGUGUAGGUGGAUGAGUAAGUACCUUGUGAAAUCCCACGGCUCAACCGUGGAACUGCUUGGUAUACUGCUUGUCUUGAGGCACUCAGGGGCGAGCGGAACAGAUGGUGGAGCGGUGAAAUGCGUAGAUAUCAUCUGGAACGCCAAUGGUGAAGACAGCUCGCUGGGGGUGUACUGACACUGAGACACGAAAGCCAGGGGAGCAAACGG